rnacentral:RNase_P_RNA from 1 species
GAAGUCCGCCAGGCAGCCGCUGUGCACUAUAGUGCAUGGAGGAAAGUCCGGGCCCCAUAGAGCAGGAUGCCGGCUAACGGCCGGGCGCCGUGAGGCGAUGGAAAGUGGCACAGAAAACAAACCGCCUAAGUCCGCAAGGACCGGCAAGGGUGAAAAGGCGGGGUAAGAGCCCACCGCAGUCCGUGGCAACACGGCUGGCACGCUAAACCCCAUCCGGGGCAAGGCCAAAUAGGGAAGCCAUGGCGCUGCUCGCGCCGCUUCCGGGUAGGCUGCUAGAGCGCCGCGGCAACGCGUCGCCCAGAGGAAUGGCUGCCGGGCAGCUUCGGCUGCCUUACAGAACCCGGCUUACCGGCGGACUUCCAAC